rnacentral:rRNA from 1 species
CCUACGGGGGGCAGCAGUGGGGAAUAUUGGACAAUGGGGGGAACCCUGAUCCAGCCAUGCCGCGUGUGUGAAGAAGGCCCUCGGGUUGUAAAGCACUUUCAGUGAGGAAGAACGCCUGGUGGUUAAUACCCAUCAGGAAAGACAUCACUCACAGAAGAAGCACCGGCUAACUCCGUGCCAGCAGCCGCGGUAAUACGGAGGGUGCGAGCGUUAAUCGGAAUUACUGGGCGUAAAGCGCGCGUAGGUGGUUUGAUAAGCCGGUUGUGAAAGCCCCGGGCUCAACCUGGGAACGGCAUCCGGAACUGUCAAGCUAGAGUGCAGGAGAGGAAGGUAGAAUUCCCGGUGUAGCGGUGAAAUGCGUAGAGAUCGGGAGGAAUACCAGUGGCGAAGGCGGCCUUCUGGACUGACACUGACACUGAGGUGCGAAAGCGUGGGUAGCAAACAGGAUUAGAUACCCUAGUAGUC